GGGUGUAGCUGCUGAUCCCAUGCUACAGCAGCGAGAGAGAGAGUGAAAGGGAGGAGGAGGAGGGACAUCAGGUGUCACAGCUCUGCAACCCCAGAUGAAGCUGCAUUACCACGACAACCAACUCCAGGGGGUGCCGCCAGCUCUCUGCCUUGGCCAGCCCAGGACCCAAAUGCACGGCCAGCACCACGUCCAGCUACCCACCCACCCAUCCAUCCGCCCAAACAGCCAAGCCAGCCCUGCGCAGAACUGGCAACUCGCAGGAGUCAUCAGGCUGCCACAGAUGUAGCGAAGAUUAGGAGAGAGAAGAAGAGGCAUAGCUGACUCUGUGCACCCAGGGAGGAUGCAAUGAGGUGGAACUGCCUCUCUGCUUCCCACUGGAGAAAAAAAAAACUUUACUCAUCAGAGCGCCAUCUGCUGACACGGACACGGUGGGGCGGGACAGCUGGUGUUGUGAAUCAGGCCGCCACAGUCCAGGGACCGGCUACUUCCCAACACCAGGGUCUCACCAUCACCCCUCACAUCUCAUUGUGCGUGUAUUUGUCAGCUAAUAUUCUAGUUUUGUUGUUGUUGUAGUCUCUUACAUUCGUUCAUGUUGUUACUUGUUUGUCUUUUGUAAAAACUACUUCUCACUUGAGUCAGAAAGAAACUGAAAUUGCCUGUGUUGUAAAUUACACACUAUAAUAUCUGAGCAAAUACAACAAAGAAUGCAGUUGAAAUGCCAUUAUUUUAAAGUAAAUGAAUAAAUCUUCCAAAAAAUGUGAAAAAAAAUGUGACUAUAAAUUAUCUGUAGUUUUAGCUUCUUGGAGAACAAAUAGUCAAAAAAUGAAGGGAAAUUAACCUCCUUAGACCCGAACUCUUCCAUGGCAUGCAUUUUUAAUUUCUUUUUGAUAUUUGGGCAUAUUGGGACCUGAUGAAUGUAAAAACGAAGAAUUAUAAGAUUUUUUUUUAACCUGAUUUUUGUUUCUAAGAAA